GAUGAAGAACGCAGCGAAAUGCGAUAAGUAGUGUGAAUUGCAGAAUUCAGUGAAUCAUCGAAUCUUUGAACGCACAUUGCGCCCUUUGGUAUUCCUUAGGGCAUGCCUGUUCGAGCGUCAUUUAAACCUUCAAGCUAAGCUUGGUGUUGGGUGACUGUCCGCUUCACUGCGGACUCGCCUCAAAAUUAUUGGCGGCCGGUACAUUGGCUUCGAGCGCAGCAGAAACGCGAACUCGGGCCCGUCGUAUUGGCUCCCAGAAGCUAUCUUCACAAUUUUGACCUCGGAUCAGGUAGGGAUACCCGCUGAACUUAAGCAUAUCAUAAGCGGAG
rnacentral:misc_RNA from 1 species